rnacentral:lncRNA from 1 species
CACCGCUGUCCCCGCAGGGUGCCGGCAGCUCACAGCCCGCACUGGGGGUGUUGCAGGGCAGCCCGCACUGACGGCCCCGUGUCACUGCCACCCCGCAUCCUUUCUGCUCCUGGGGUGUCUCCGAGCUCUGACAAUGCCUGUGCCACACACUGCGACCCGGGGUGUGCCAUGGGAACAGCCCUGCUCUCUGCCACGGAACGGUCCUGCACUGCCCGCAUCACACCUGCUGGUCCGGGUACAGUGCGGGGGGUCUGCGAUGUCCCCGUGCUGCAGCAGGCAGCCCGGAUCCCUACCUGGUGCUGGGUGCUGUGGCACAGCCUGGCUUGGUGCAAGCUGCUGGCAGAGGGAGGCUGGGCUUGGAGUCAGGACUCCUCUAUGGAGAGUGAGCUUAAUCCAUACCAAGAGCAAAAUCGUCACAUCAGGAGAAAAGGUGACUGGGGAGGUCCGAAGGUCUGCACACACAGACAGGAAUAUCUCCCAGGCCUGCAGAACCAGGUGUGCUGGACCAGGGCGGGCUGGUUCCCUGGCUCCAGGGCAGAAGGGAGAACCUUGGCCUCUCCCGCACCCGUUCUGUUCCCACCUGGCCCCGUUGCUGCUUCCCCGCCUGGCCCCUGCCAGGGAGUGAGCGCUGGAGAGAAGCUGAGGGAGCACCGAGGGAUCGGAGAAGGCUGCGGCCCUGCCCUGCUGGGGGCUGCAUAGGCCAGAGGGAGUGGGAGUGGGCUCGCUUGCUCUCAGCCUCAUUAAAAUCUGUUGGGUUCAGUAUAAACAAUUGCCUUGUCAUCAUUUCAGACAAAGCGUCCAGCUCAGGACAAAGUUAUUGGCCCUGCCACAGAUGCUGCUCCCUGCAGCCCAGCAGGCUGCCAGCCACCGAAUGUUGUCCUGUCACUGCAGGUGCUGCUUCUGGGCUCUCCCCGAGGGAGGGUCACUGCCCACAUGCACAAGACCCCGGCUGAAUCCCCGUGUGUGACCCUGGGAGAGCCACAGCCUGUGCAGCCACCAGACCCCUGCACUGCUUUGGUGAGGAUCAGCUGAGACAGAGGUGUUGAUGUGCUCCAGGUGGGCUCAGCUCCUGCAGGAGCAGGACUCUGCAAUUACUAAUAAAAGGUACUUACUUGGGCUACUGAUGUUACUU